CCCUCAGCUUCAUAGAGUCCAAUGAAAGCUGCUGAAUAAUGUUCCCUUGUUAACAUAUUGAAUUCCACCCCCUCUAUAUAGAAUGAACUCCCUCAGCUUCAUAGAGUCCAAUGAAAGCUGCUGAAUAAUGUUCCCUUGUUAACAUAUUGAAUUCCACACCCUCUAUAUAGAAUGAACUCCCUCAGCUUCAUAGAGUCCAAUGAAAGCUGCUGAAUAAUGUUCCCUUGUUAACAUAUUGAAUUCCACCCCCUCUAUAUAGAAUGAACUGAUUCAGCUUCAUAGAGUCCAAUGAAAGCUGCUGAAUAAUGUUCCCUUGUUAACAUAUUGAAUUCCACACCCAGCGCUUUGUAGUUUUCCAGAUACUGAACGAAAAACUGACAUUGAAAAAAAAUUUGACAUUUCAGAAAUCUCACAUGAAAUACGACUGGACUGCGAUUGUGGCUUCUGGUGUAGUUUCUGUUGAUUACAUCACGAUGUUAAACAUUACAAGAUCUAAAUUCUGUUCAUAUAGUUUUAUUAUUUAUUUAUUUAUUUAUUUUAAAUUAUGUCUCAAUACUAAAUUUCUAGUUCAUGCAAAACUUUUGCCCACAGCUGUACAUGAUGUAUCGUAAUAGAGGUCUGUAUCGCUUGUGAUACGAGACCACAGCAUAAAGAACUACAGCUCCCAGCAUGCCUCACUGUUGCUGCAGGUGCAGAGGGCAGGCUGGGAGCUGUAGUUCAUUAUACAUGUUUUGGCCGUAGCUGUAGCAUUCAGACAAGUCAAUUUAAUCAUGUCAAGUAGCCUUUAUUGCUGCGGGUGCAGAGGCAUGCUGGGAGCUGUAGUCCUAGCCAGCAAGUUCAUUCUACAGGGAGAUUCAAACCUUUUUGGCCAGAGCUGUAGACUUGCAAAACAUCAGAGAAAGAAGGCUUUUGAAAGCCCAGCAGCUGUUGCUUGCAAUUCCAGCUCCUGUUUGAUCGCUUUGAUGAAGUCGCCCUCCGGUCGCUCAGCAGGGGGAAGGAAUCAUCCCGAUGCCAAGCUGUAGAGCUGGCAGAGGGGGGCAUCUAUCACUGUCGCGCAGGAGGAGGAGGAGGAGGAAUCUAGCCAACAUUUGAACCCGGAUCACUGUGAACCGAACAGACUCCAGUCUCUCACAGCCGGAGCACACGAUGAAGAGAUCUGACACGACGAAGGCUGUGUAGUGUUUGAAAACAACCCUUGAGUAACAAACACCAAAAAGCAAGCUUACACACACACACACACACACACACACACAUAUAUAUAUAUAUAUAUAUAUAUAUAUAUAUAUAUAUAUAUAUGCAUUGCCUGGCUGUUUUAUUAGGACAUGUCCUGAGCAUCCUGUUUGAACGAUCACAGCCGUGACGUGACUCCACAAAGUGUUGGAAGGUGUCUCCGGGGAUCGCUCUCUGCCUCUCUGUCUCUGUCUCUCUCCCCUCUCUGUCUGUUGCUGUUUGAGGCUCUGGCUGCCUUUGGGCUUCCUCGGGCCGGCGCUGAUCCAGUCUGAUGUCUCUUGGAGCAGUCAAAAAACCGACAGCCCUGUUCUUGCCACUGUGACACCGGCUCCACGCUCCCCCCACCCCCCCCCCCCCCCCCCACUAUCACUGUCACUCCUCCUGGCAGGCUGCUUGCGAGUGUGCCACUCCCACAGCUUGGCGGGAAUCACACGACAUUCGGGAGGAAAGCCACUCGGGUUCCUAGUAAAGUGACCGGACAGUUUCACAAGACAGACGACCGCCACAACCCUGUAAAGGAGAGCUAACCGAACAUUGAAUGUCUGUUUUGUUUGCUCUUAUUACUGCAAUUAAUGUUAUCACUGCUAGUAAUGGAUUUUAAAGAUGGUCAGCGCUCCUUUAAAGGGAGGGGCCAGCGAUACUGUUAAUAAAGCUAAUAAGAGGUGAGAGAAUGGAUUUUAAAGAUGGUCAGCGCUCCUUUAAAGGGAGGGACCAGCGAUACUGUUAAUAAAGCUAAUAAGAGGUGAGAGAAUGGAUUUUAAAGAUGGUCAGCGCUCCUUUAAAGGGAGGGACCAGCGAUACUGUUAAUAAAGCUAAUAAGAGGUGAGAGAAUGGAUUUUAAAGAUGGUCAGCGCUCCUAUGAAUAUGAAUUAUGAAAUAUAAAACUGGAAAGAUUUUUUUUUUUUUUUUUGAACAAAGAAAAAAAGAUACUUAUGAAUUUUGUACACUUAAAAAAAAAAGCUAGCUUGUUAUGUUUGUGUCUCGAGAAUGGGGUGGGGGGGAUGUACAAAAAAAAAAGUUUUACAAGUUUUAAAGCGUUUGAGCCUAUAUUUGCAUGAUUUCAGUAUUUUUCAUGAAGAGAACUUUAUCGUUGUGUACAGUCCGUGGGUGUGCGUCCUAAUAUUUCGUCCCCCUUUUAGUUGUGAAGAAAGACCAAUUCUCUCUUUUUUUUUAAUGAAUCGAUCUUAUUAUUUUGUAUUGUUGUCCUUUCUUUCUACGUUAUUAUUAUUAUUAAACAAAAAAUCAAGGCUACAAAUCUACAGUCAUGAAACGGGGUCAAAAACACUGUUAAAUCAUUCAUGGGGUUCGGUUUUCAAUCUCUUAUAUUGCUUCAGUUUUUCAUCACUUCCUUGGUCCCCGAGGGUCUCCCCUGGUAAAGGCACGGCCGCGUGGGGCGCAGGGGGGAGUCACACAGUCAGGGGAGCGCAGGGGUCCCUGAGGGUCUCCCCUGGUAAAGGCACGGCCGCGUGGUGUGCAGGGGGGGAGUCACACAGUCAGGAGAGCGCAGGGGUCCUCGAGGGUCUCCCCUGGUAAAGGCACGGCCGCGUGGUGUGCAGGGGGGGAGUCGCACAGUCAGGGGAGCGCAGGGGUCCCCGAGGGUCUCCCCUGGUAAAGGCACGGCCGCGUGGGGCGCAGGGGGGGAGUCACACAGUCAGGGGAGCGCAGGGGUCCCCGAGGGUCUCCCCUGGUAAAGGCACGGCUGCGUGGUGUGCAGGGGGGGAGUCACACAGUCAGGGGAGCGCAGGGGUCCCCGAGGGUCUCCCCUGGUAAAGGCACGGCCGCGUGGUGUGCAGGGGGGGAGUCACACAGUCAGGGGAGCGCAGGGGUCCUCGAGGGUCUCCCCUGGUAAAGGCACGGCCGCGUGGUGUGCAGGGGGGAGUCACACAGUCAGGGGAGCGCAGGGGUCCUCGAGGGUCUCCCCUGGUAAAUUAUUAUGAAUUAGUCAUUCAGCAGACGCUUUUAUACAAAGCGACUUCCAGAGACUAGGGGGGUGAACUCUGCAUCAUCAACAACUGCUGCUGCUGCUGCUGCAGAGUCACUUCCAAUAGGAGCUUGUUUGUUUUAUGUCUCAUCUGAAGGACGGAGCACAAGGAGGUGAAGCGACUCGCUCAGGGUCACGCACACACACACAGCAAGUCAGUGGCUGCUGCAGAGUCACUUCCAAUAGGAGCUCGUUUGUUUUACAUCUUAUCUGAAGGACAUGCAUCUUAACAAGAAGAUUCAUGGAGGUGAUGACAAACUGAAGCAAUGCAAGGGAUUGCAAAGCCAACACCAUGAACGACACAGAAUGGGGAGGAGAGAGAUAUAGAGAGGGAGGAGAGAGAGAGAGAAUCGUUUCAUUUUGUACGACCUAUUCUACCUUUAGUGUAAUUCACUGUGUUCCAUUGUGGUCAGCACCAAAAACGCAGUGUGAUGUGGAGAGAGUUCAAUAAAACCAGACAGAUCCCAGCAGGGCUUAAUGAGCUCAGAGGGAAUCUAUUUAGAGCCAAGGUGAAUUAGGAGAGGCUUGAUUGAGGUCUUUAAAAAUCUCUACAGGAUUUGACAAGCCCAAUACUUUAAGCACAGAAGCCAGAACCGGGGGGGACACACACAGUGUGGGAGUGAGUGGACAGAGGGAAGGAGACACGUCUUCACACAGGGAGUGGGGAGGGGGUGGGACGGGUCAGCUGUCGAUCCUCUGAGACCCGAGUUGUGACACAGUUCUGAGAUGGAUCAGCAGAGCUGUAUAGAGGUCUAUAGGAAAGAGAGCUCCCCUCUCAACACUGCAGAGCUGUAUAGAGGUCUAUAGGAAAGAGAGCUCCCGUCUCAACACUGCAGAGCUGUAUAGAGGUCUAUAGGAAAGAGAGCUCCCCUCUCAACACUGCAGAGCUGUAUAGAGGUCUAUAGGAAAGAGAGCUCCCCUCUCAACACUGCAGAGCUGUAUAGAGGUCUAUAGGAAAGAGAACUCAACACUGCAGAGCUGUAUAGAGGUCUAUAGGAAAGAGAGCUCCCCUCAACACUGCAGAGCUGUAUAGAGGUCUAUAGGAAAGAGAACUCAACACUGCAGAGCUGUAUAGAGGUCUAUAGGAAAGAGAGCUCCCCUCUCAACACUGCAGAGCUGUAUAGAGGUCUAUAGGAAAGAGAACUCAACACUGCAGAGCUGUAUAGAGGUCUAUAGGAAAGAGAGCUCCCCUCAACACUGCAGAGCUGUAUAGAGGUCUAUAGGAAAGAGAACUCAACACUGCAGAGCUGUAUAGAGGUCUAUAGGAAAGAGAGCUCCCCUCUCAACACUGCAGAGCUGUAUAGAGGUCUAUAGGAAAGAGAACUCAACACUGCAGAGCUGUAUAGAGGUCUAUAGGAAAGAGAGCUCCCCUCAACACUGCAGAGCUGUAUAGAGGUCUAUAGGAAAGAGAGCUCCCCUCAACACUGCAGAGCUGUAUAGAGGUCUAUAGGAAAGAGAACUCAACACUGCAGAGCUGUAUAGAGGUCUAUAGGAAAGAGAGCUCCACACUGCAGAGCUGUAUAGAGGUCUAUAGGAAAGAGCUCCCCUCAAUAAUAAAUCAAAAUGCAUUGCAGACAGUCGUUGUUUUUAUACAAUGCAAAUGAACAACAAAAAAUCAGAUCAACUUGGAAGUGAAUCUGGUGAAGUUUGACCCCGUUUCACCCUCAGACGGGCUCCGUCCCGGAGGGUUGUGUUCAUUUUGUGUUCAAUUCCUUAUUCAUUUGUUUUUCUUGUUCUUUUGUUUGCGAUACGGAUGAAUUGGUUUAGUUUGAAAAGUUUGAGUUGUUUUGAAAUCGUCUUUCUCCGAAAUAAGAAACGGCAUUCAGUCUUAAAUCUUCUUCCCCAUUUCUGUACAAAAAGAUCUAUUUCUAUAUUUGCAAUAAAUUUAUAAUGAAAAAAAUAAA